rnacentral:lncRNA from 1 species
GCAACUCAUAGAUGUUUUAAAGCCAGAUACAUCUUUCUUUGCUUCCUGGGGUGAACCCAAAUACAAAUAAAACUUUACUUUCAGUUUUUCUAAUUUUAAUUUUCUUCUCUACUACUUCUGCUUUGAUUUGCAUUUAGUUUGUUUACAGAUAAUAAGUUAUUCCCCAGCGAGUGUUUGGUUUUAUGGUCAGACUAUUCAAUGAUCUCUGUAAAUGAAUUUAUAGAGAUUUUGUCUCUGUUGGGUGAGAGAGUGUACAGAGUUGGCUAGUCUCUUCUGUUUAUUUGUCUAUUUAAAUCAAAUAACUGAAGAAUUCUUACCCACUGGGAAGAGACAAGCUCUUUGAUACAGACUGUUCUUUUUCUUCAACCUGAGAAGUUCACUAGGCUAUUCCUGAUUUUCCCUUCCCUGCUCCUCGGCUGAAGACUAAUUAAUGUGCUGGUAUACGGAUAUGUACCCUAACUUCUACUAAUGUGAUGUUCCUGCCUGAGAUUUAAGCGCUGCACAUUAAAAGGAAGAAAACAGACUGGAUCCAUGUUGGUGAAGGUGGAACUAAGGUGAUGGAGCUGAGUGGACAGCUGAGCAUUCUUAAUGCUACCGCCUUGUGUAAGACCCA